rnacentral:rRNA from 1 species
AGCCAGACUCCUACGGGAGGCAGCAGUGGGGAAUAUUGCGCAAUGGGGGCAACCCUGACCCAGCAACGCCGCGUGAAGGAAGAAGGCUUUCGGGUUGUAAACUUCUUUUAAGGGGGAAGAGGAGAAGACGGUACCCCUUGAAUAAGCCACGGCUAACUACGUGCCAGCAGCCGCGGUAAUACGUAGGUGGCAAGCGUUGUCCGGAUUUACUGGGUGUAAAGGGCGUGCAGCCGGGAGGACAAGUCAGAUGUGAAAUCCCGCGGCUCAACCGCGGAACUGCAUUUGAAACUGUUUUUCUUGAGUACUGGAGAGGCAGACGGAAUUCCUAGUGUAGCGGUGAAAUGCGUAGAUAUUAGGAGGAACACCAGUGGCGAAGGCGGUCUGCUGGACAGCAACUGACGCUGAGGCGCGAAAGCGUGGGGAGCAAACAGGAUUAGAUACCCCGGUAACU